GUUUUUCUUUGUUUUUUAAUUGUAUUUUAUUUUGGUGGGGAAGCUUUUAUUUUCUUACUUCCUGUUUUUGCGUUAUAUCCUGUGUGUUCCCGCUGCCCUCCUCAGUUCGCGCCAAGCUGCGCUGGGGAGAGGGUGUUUGUGGAGAAUCCGGAGCCCAGGAGCUGCUGUUUAAAAUGUUCUUGUUUUGAACAGGAAUAAAAUUAUCCUGAAUCCUGAUUCCGGUGUGAUUGACU